UCCUAUUUAAAUUUUACAAAAACAUUUUUAAACCAUUUUAAAGUUUAAAGGUGGAAACAUAGCACAUGUAGAUACGCUUUGUGUUUACAUUUAAUCCAAAAUAUUGAGAAAACCGCUAAACAAAAGCGUACUAUUUUCUAUUGCGGAUGGAUCUUAUGAAGCUGAUCCGCCCGCCCGGUGACAACAAGUGAAUUGACGCGUAGUAAUCUUGCGGCGCCGCUUGUCUUCAACAAAGAAACUUUACUUUAAAGAGGAGUCGACGACCAGUUCAAGAUGGCUGUCAAAUUUCCUGCGCCCCAAACGUCUAUGGUUCGGCCACCUCUUCCAAUCGAAUCUACCAACUGUGAGCGGCUGAGCUUCCGGGUUCCGAUGGGUUCUGCAAAUUCAAAGACAUCCGAUGAUGGCGGCGCUGAUGACGACUGUGGCCACAACUGCGAUGACAAUCAGGAUGACCGAAGUACGGUUAGAAACUGGUCCCUUGUCAUUCUCUGAGGAAGACGUGGUGUUCACAGCAGGUGGUUUGCUCCUCCUCUCCGUCGAGACUGAGAGGAGAGUCACACACCACUUGGGUCUGGUUGGUUUUGGAUGGGUGCUUUCUCAGCCAGUUCUUCAGAGGCAGGAUGUCCUUGUCACACCUCCAGGGGUUCUGCUGCAGGAGUAUCUCAUCUGCCACAGAGAUGGCAUCUAGAAUUUCCUGUGGCAGGUUUUGAAGAGAGUUGUUUUUCAGGUCAAUCUGUCCCAAGUGACUCAGGCCUUUGAGAAAACCGACAGGUAGAUGACUGAUGAAGUUGUGCUCCAAGGAAAUGUUUACCAGCCUAGGAAGACCUUGGAAUGUUCCAGCAUGCAAAGUCUUGAGCAGAUUUGUGUGAAGUGAUAUUUCUCCUAUCUGUUCCAACCCUUGGAAGGCAUUGGUGGACACCUCGCUAAUCUGGUUACGGCUGAGCACCAAGAGUUGCAACUGAGUCAAAUUUUUAAAGGUGUCAUCCUCUACUUGUCUCAGCUUGUUGUCAUAUAGCCACAACUCCUGCAGGGCCAUGGGACCAAACACACCAGGACUACAACUUUCCAACUGGUUUUCAUACAAGGAUAUCUGAGCUAGGAGGGGAAGAUGUAAGAAGAGUCCUUGUGGGAGAGUUCUCAGUUUGUUGUUGGAAAGGAACAGCUUUUGGAGGUUGGGAGUCUUUGAGAACAGGUCGUGCUGGAGAUGAGUGAUAUGAUUGUCCUGUAGGGUUAGUUCUGUCAGGUUUUCAAGGCCAUCAAAACUUCCGCUAGGAACUUCUACUAGUAAAUUUUUGUUUAGCCGAAGGUACUUGAGCUUAGAAAGCCCCUUGAAUACCCCACUCGGUAGCCCACUAAUAGAAUUUCCUGCUAGCAAAAGGUACUCCAGCUCAUUCAGAUGGUGAAAGGUUUCCACUGGUAUUGAGGUCAACUGGUUCUUACUCAGAUCAAGGGCAGUAAGACUUUUGAUUUGGAAGAACCAUUUUGGUUGGAGUACAAGGAUCUUGUUGCUAUUCAUAUUCAGAGUCUCAAGCUUUGGAAGAUUCUGGAACAAGGCCUCUGGAAGAUCUUGCAGUUCUGUUUCAGUAACCACUAAAGACUGAAGGUACAGAGUGGAAUCCAACGUGCCGGGUUGAACCUCCCUCAAAGUACAGUUUUUAAUCCAAAUGCUCAAGACUAGUGACAGAGAAGUAAGGUCCUCUGGUUUCAGAGAGGAGAUCCUGCAGUUGGAAAGGUAGAGAGCAGUGGUAGAUGGAGGCAAGUGAGGGACAUCUGAGAUUCCAAUGCAUAAGAUUCGGUUGCCUUCACAUUUGCAUCCAUCAGGACAUGUCUGAACAGCAACACUGAGGGAGCACAGAAGCAGGAGCACUUGAAAGAUGAAUGGAAGGAGCAUUUUGUCCCUAGAAAAAAGAACAAGACAGGGCAACAUUUAGUGGAUUAUCAGCAGUAUUGGGGUCCAAUAAACUUAUUUUGGCAGCACAGUUUCAAUGUGGUAUGUCACAUCUGCCUCACGGUCAGGAGGUUUUAGGUUUGAAUCUUGGUCAGACCUGUGUAGAGUUGGCCUCUUCCCCCCCCUGCUUGCCAGGUUUUACUCCGGGUGGUUUUCUGUUUUCCUCCCACAUCCCAAAAACAUGCAUUUUGUGUGAAUGUCAGACCCUAAAACUACUAUUUUGUAUAUGUCUUGUGAUUGACUGGAGACCAGUUCAGCACCUCUUGCCCUACGUCAGCUGGAAUAGGCUCCAGCUCAGCUGUGGAACCAAACAGGACAAGCGGUAUGGAACAUGAAAGAAUGAAUGAACUUCUAUCCAUCAGUGUAUCAGAAUAUACAAGAGGUACUUAGUAGUUGCAUUUCAGUACAGAUCUUGACCAAGUCCUUAUAUUACAAGCAUUUUGAUUUUAACCAAUGCAGCUUUCUGUCUUUAAACUAGUAAGGCAUUCUGGGCUUACAUCAGUUAAUUUUUUACCCGUUUUGGUAAAAUAAUUUUCACACAAAAUCAAAGGCAUUUUUUUCAAUCAUGUUUCCAAUAUCCAUUAAAUAACAAUUUAAUUAGAUAGCAAUAAAAAAUAUAUAUUUCUUAGCUUCGUCGACCGUCAUUAUCUUAAAAUUAACUCCUGUUUGCAACCUAGCUAACUUUCCGGCGUUUGGCGCCACCUGCUGGUUUCCCUGCAUCAAUCUCUAGACCAUUGAUGAUAAACAUCCAAUCAUCCAUACAAUCCGGCCCGCGAGAUGAGUUUGCUAAUUGUAAAAUUGAGCUGCAUUCUUAAAUGAAAGAAACUGCUGUUCUAAAUGUGUCCACUGGAUGUCACAAUAGCAAUUCUGUUAGGCAAGCAAAUGUUUUUUACCGGGGCAAG